rfam:Podospora anserina genomic DNA, chromosome 7.
GGCCCGCUGGCCAAAUGGUAAGGCGUCAGAUUUCGGUUAUGAAAUCGCUCUGAAGAUUGCGCGUUCGAGUCGCGCGUGGGUCG